AUUGAACGCUGGCGGAAUGCUCUACACAUGCAAGUCGAACGGCAGCACGGACUUCGGUCUGGUGGCGAGUGGCGAACGGGUGAGUAAUGUAUCGGAACGUGCCCAGUCGUGGGGGAUAACGUAGUGAAAAUUACGCUAAUACCGCAUACGAUCUAUGGAGGAAAGCGGGGGAUCGCAAGACCUCGCCCGAUUGGAGCGGCCGAUAUCAGAUUAGGUAGUGGGUGGGGUAAAGGCCCACCAAGCCAACGAUCUGUAGCUGGUCUGAGAGGACGACCAGCCACACUGGAACUGAGACACGGUCCAGACUCCUACGGGAGGCAGCAGUGGGGAAUUUUGGACAAUGGGCGAAAGCCUGAUCCAGCCAUUCCGCGUGCAGGAUGAAGGCCCUCGGGUUGUAAACUGCUUUUGUACAGAACGAAAAGGUUUCUACUAAUACUAGGAGCUCAUGACGGUACUGUAAGAAUAAGCACCGGCUAACUACGUGCCAGCAGCCGCCGUAA
rnacentral:rRNA from 1 species